GAGGUGACUAUUAAUUUCCAAGGUGUAAGAUUUGUUCGUGAUAAAACACACUGGUUCUUCAUUCUUGCUCCCCAUUGCUUCUCCAUCUCAAUCCCAAAAUAAGCUGGUGUAGAGAAAGAUCCAUUCUGUCUCAACCUGACUCAAAGGUUGAUCUCUGGAUUUCUCUUCAAAAUAGUCGGUUGUCGUCGUCUAUCUGUGGAUUUCUUUUCUGUAAUCGACUUCGUCUUUCUCCAUCUUUCUCACACUCUCCCCUGUACCAGAUUUUCAUCUGCAAUUUAUCAAAGGGAUUGAUUCAUAUACAUUGAUCGAUUCCUUUCGAAGGGAUUUAACGAUGUAAAGUCACAACCGGUGGUAGACAAGCAGAGACAUUUGGUCCGACGGAAGAUGAGGUCGAUUCUUGUAGGCAGAACAAUUGAGGGAAGCGAUGAUCUGAUGAUGUGAGGAAGACGAAAGAAAUACCAAGUGAUGAGGAUAAAGUCGGAAGAAAUCAAGGAGAAGAUACGUUGAUCUUGAUUAGCGUAUACUUUGUUGCUGACCGAAUGAUUAUCUCAAUAAUAUUUUAGAUUUUCUAUAUUGAAAAUAGAUAUUUAUCCCGUGUUUAAUUAUGUUUAGCCGCAGUUAGUUACAUAAAUUUAAAAAUGGAUUUUU